AUGUGGUAUCAAUCCAUAUCAGAGAACACAUACACACACUCACAUGCUCAUUCACACCUUAUGGACAAUUUGGGAUCACCAAUAGGAAGGCCCAAUUUGCAUGUCUUUGGCAUGUGGGAUGAAACCGGGGCACCUAGAGGAAACCCACCAAGCAUGGUGAGGCCAUGCACACUAAUACUAGAGCUUCAAUAUCAGCUAAAAUGCCAGCCUUCCUCCGAGGUGCCAUCACAAAUGCUGACAUUGAGGUCACUAAGACAACCUGCCAGCUCCUGCUCUCUAAAUUGGACCCACAGUCAUCAGUUAUCAUACUGG